GGCUCGUUGGUCUAGGGGUGUGAUUCUCGCUUAGGAUAAGAGAGAUCCCGGGUUCAAAUCCCAGAUGAGCCC
rnacentral:tRNA from 1 species